ensembl:lncRNA
GGGGCCCCGGGACAGACCUCGGCACUUCCAGACUCCAGGGGCAGCCUCGCUGACUGAGAAACCUCAGAGAGGAUGUGCGAGAUAUCUGAUGUGGUGUUUCUCAGGGAAUCUGAUAUUUGAUUUAUCAGUGCGGCCUCCAGAGCUAUCUGAUCAGAAAGGAGCCUGAGCUGCUGCUGCUCCGCCGCUUCAGGAGCUGGCUGGUGACGCAGGGCCUGGAUGGCGCCGACGAGCAAGCUCUCCACGCUGGCCAGGGGCCCCGCCUGGGCCUCCCGAGCGUCUUCUGGGCCGGCCCCCGGCAGGGACCGCAGCUGUUCGCGGCAGCUUUCUAAGCAAGCCAGGGCCUGACUGUUUUUCACCUGGAAGUUACCAAGCUCCCCGACGUGCUUCUGGACGACCUCUGCCCGAGCCUGUCUCUCCUGCUCCAGCUGGGAGGCCAGCGCCGCGACCUGGCGCAGGCUGGCGCGGAGCUGGUCGCGGAGCCGCGCCUCGGUGCCGGCCCACUGCUGGUGCAGCGCGAGCAGGGCCUCCUGGCUCUGGCCCUGCUGGCUCUCCAGCUUCACUGUCACGUCUUUGAGCUUCUCCUCGGUGACAUAGAGCUUGGUCUCCAGGGAGUGGAUGAUGGACAGGGCCUGCUCGUGUGCGUCCCGGAUGCGCCGCAGCUCCUCCUCCUUCUCCUGCAGCCGGGUGUGCGCGCCCUGGAGCUGGCCGGCCACGCUCCUGUAGGAGUGCUCCAGGCUCCGAUAGUCGGCCUCCCGCCCCCUCAGCUGCUCCUGCAGCGCGGCCACAUCCCCGUCGGACAGGGCCAUGCGGCCCAGCAGCUCCUGGAAGCGCUGCCGGACCAGGUCCCGCUCCUCCCGGAGGCUCUGCACGUGCUCCGCCAGCUUCUGGAUGCUGGCCUCCUUCAUCUCCAGCUGCUCCUCCAGCCGGUGCACAGCCUCGCUGCCCUCGGCCUUGGCGCUCAGCUCCUCCCUCUGGAGGACCUCCAGCUGCUGCUCGUGGUCCUGGAGCCGGUCCUCGAAGGCGCUGGCCCUGUCCUCCGCCUCCUUCAGGCUCUGCAGCAGCUCCUGCUUCUCCCUCUCGCAGCUCCCCAGCGGCAGCUCGUAGUUGCGCUGCAGCUUCUCCUCCAUGAGCCUCUGGGCCUGCUCGCUGGCGCCGAGCUGCUGGCUGAGGUCGGCGAUGCGCUCCUGCAGCCGCUGCACCUCCUUCUGCCUGUCCCGCUGCAGUGCCUGCUGCCUCUCCAGGUCCCGCAGCUCCUGCGUCCUCCCCAGCAGCAGGGCCUCGGCGCUCUGGAGCUUCUGCUCGCUGGCCUGCAGCUGGGCGCUGAGCGCGGCCUCGCUCUGCUGCCGCUCCUCCAGCUGCUCGCGGACCUUGUCUCUCUCCAGCUUCAGCUCACCCUUGAGCUUGGCCAGCGCCUGCUCCUUGAUGGCGAGCUCGGCGGCGGCGGUGCUGAGCCUCGCCUGGAGGCUCCGGAUCUCGGCCUCGUGGUGCCGGAUCGCGUCCUUGGCCUCCCCGUAGCUUCGCUUCAGGGCCUGGAUCUGCUGCGUGAUGAGCUCCUGGCGCUGGCACUGGGCCUCCAGCUCACUGUGCAGGUCCUGGUUGACUCUGUGGAGCCUCUGCCAGGCACCGGAUGGGGAGGUGGCCACUUCAGUCUUAAAAAAACCGAUUAAAUACUGGUUAGUAACA